GCCGCCGGGAUUGCUUCCGCCGUCCUCUGCCUCUGCUGCCGCCGCUGUUGCCGCCCGGGAUCCUCAGGCCGAGCGGUAGGACGGCCCGCUGCCCUGCAGCGCCGCGGUACGGGAAGCGGAGCUGCGGAACCAACCGGUGGACGGGCGGGCGGGCGUGCCGACAGAGUAACCUAACAUGGCUGACCAGAGGCAGCGCUCACUCUCUACUUCCGGGGAAUCGCUGUACCACGUUCUUGGCCUGGACAAGAACGCAACCUCGGAUGACAUUAAAAAGUCCUAUCGGAAGCUGGCCCUGAAAUAUCACCCUGACAAGAACCCUGAUAACCCAGAGGCUGCAGACAAGUUUAAGGAGAUUAACAACGCCCACGCCAUCCUGACAGAUGCCACGAAAAGAAACAUUUAUGACAAGUACGGCUCGCUGGGGCUCUAUGUGGCCGAGCAGUUUGGGGAGGAAAACGUCAACACCUACUUCGUACUCUCCAGCUGGUGGGCUAAGGCUCUGUUCGUCGUCUGUGGCCUCCUCACCUGCUGCUACUGCUGCUGCUGUUUGUGCUGUUGUUUUAACUGCUGCUGUGGGAAAUGCAAGCCCAAGGCACCUGAGGGCGAGGAGACAGAAUUCUACGUAUCCCCUGAAGACUUGGAGGCACAGCUGCAGUCUGAUGAAAGGGGAGGGCACUGACACUGUGCCGAGAGUGUUUGUGGUGGCAUCUGGGACUGUUGAGGUGUGAACGUGGACACUUGAGAGGCUACAGACACACCGAUCGUCAUACAGCCAGCAUCCGCCACAGAGACCACCCAGCUGACGGCUGACUCUCACCCCAGCUACCACACCGACGGGUUCAACUAAAUUCAGGAGAGGCUGUGAUUAGAGGAUGAAUCAGCACCUGGCCACUGCAACCUUAGAAUCAUGAACUGUAGUCACUGAGCUGGGGAGGCAGCUGUCAGCCUGACCCGCUGCGGCUGGUCAGGGCCCCUCCCACCUCCUCUAAGCCCACCCAUCUGUCAAUCCUUGAUACACGAAGUGCGUAGCAUGCAGUAUUUAAAGCAGUGUAGCUACGGUCUUCUUUUGUUCUAUCCUUUUAAUAGCAUGUAUGGGUUAUGUUCAGUGUCUGUGUUGUGGACGUGCUAGCUGGGCUGAGUUAACUGGAGGGCAGUGCUUUCUUGGGUUUUCAGCCGAGUGGGUCCAGUGAAGGUUCAGCUGCCUCCUUGUGCUUACAGGAGUCAGCUAGGCACCUGGAGCUACAUCUCCAUGUUGGCCUCUGUGUCCUGUGACAUGGUCUAGUCCAUGGCUCUGAUCUCAUCCUCAAGGCUACAGACAGGGCUCUGUUUCCACCUGCAGAGGAGGGAGCUGGGCCCCAUCCUCCAGGCGCCACCAGCAUCAGUCGUUUGCACGGUGUUCAUGUUGGGAGGCUGCCAUGGGGUCUCUGCAGCAUCUCACUCGGCCUCGUGACAGCUUUCCUGUUAGAUCUGCUAUGGAGAGUGCAGGUAUGCCCCUUCAGAGAUGCACUCUGAAGUGUCUCUAUCUUGGUCUCCUGGCCUGUGGACUGAGAUCUGUCAUUGGAGGCAUGUCUCUUGCUGGUGCGUGGGAAAUCAUUUGUCUCUGUUCUGCACCUUUCCAGGUCAAAGCUGCAUUGACGGGGCCACAGCCUCCUCCCCUCAUUCCUGGGUCAUCUUCCACAUUCCUUCCAGCCAACCUUUUUAAUCUUACCUGACACUUAGUCACUGUCAAAAAGUCUUUGAGUCCAGUUGUGGGUGGCAUGAGGCUGCUUAUAAAGAGUGAGUGUCCAGGACCCAGAGUCUCCUCCCUGACUGCCACAGCUCCACCCACCCCGCUCUCCUUAGCUUCCACCUGUCGUCAUCAAUGCCUCUGCAGAGCUGCAGUGUUGGGUUCCUGGAGCAGGUGGCUGAAACCUGGUACCCCUGGCUCAGAAGGGUUGGCUUCUAGGCAAGCUAUGGUGACAGUCACUCAACCUGGGAGGCCAGCUCCAGGCCACAGAUUUCCUUUGUGACCCUCUCUCCAGUCAGUAUUCCAGUCUUGGUCAUCGGGUGGUACAGUGGCAGGUAAGGUUGUAAACUGUGGUUC